AACGAACGCUGGCGGCGCGUCUUACCCAUGCAAGUCGAGCGGCAGGCAGCAAUGCCGAGAGCGGCGGACUGGUGAGUAACACGUGGAUAACGUACCCCGAUGUCCGGGACAGCCUGUAGAAAUAGAGGGUAAUACCGGAUAGACCACUGUUUACGUGAGGUAGACAGCGGGAAAGGAGCUUCGGCUCCGCGACGGGAUCGGUCUGCGGCCCAUCAGCUGGACGGCGGGGUAAAGGCCCGCCGUGGCGAGGACGGGUAUCCGGCCUGAGAGGGCGGACGGACACAUUGGGACUGAGAUACGGCCCAGACUCCUACGGGAGGCAGCAGGUAAGAAUAUUCCGCAAUGGGGGGAACCCUGACGGAGCGACGCCGCGUGAACGAAGAAGGCCGGAAGGUUGUAAAGUUCUUUUCUGUCCGAGGAAUAAGUUUCGGAGGAAAUGCCGGGACGGUGACGGUAGGGCAGGAAUAAGCACCGGCUAAUUACGUG
rnacentral:rRNA from 1 species